GAUGAAGAACGUAGCAAAAUGCGAUAAGUAAUGUGAAUUGCAGAAUUCAGUGAAUCAUCGAAUCUUUGAACGCACAUUGCGCCCGCUGGUACUCCGGCGGGCACGCCUGUCCGAGCGUCAUUUCAACCCUCAAGCCCUCCUUCGGGAUGGGCCUGGUGUUGGGGCUCGGCCGCCAUCUCCGGCGGCCGUCCCCUAAAUACAGUGGCGGUCACGUCGCGACUCCUUUGCGUAGUAGAAACACCUCGCUCCGGAUAGCAACGCGGUCCACGCCGUAAAACCCCCAAUUUUCAAUGGUUGACCUCGGAUCAGGUGGGAAUACCCGCUGAACUUAAGCAUAUCAAUAAGCGGAGGA
rnacentral:misc_RNA from 1 species